rnacentral:rRNA from 1 species
GACGAACGCUGGCGGCGUGCUUAACACAUGCAAGUCGUACGGUAAGGCCCUUUCGGGGGUACACGAGUGGCGAACGGGUGAGUAACACGUGAGUAACCUGCCCACAACUUUGGGAUAACGCUAGGAAACUGGUGCUAAUACUGGAUAUGUGCUCCUGCUGCAUGGUGGGGGUUGGAAAGCUCCGGCGGUUGUGGGUGGACUCGCGGCCUAUCAGCUUGUUGGUGGGGUAGUGGCCUACCAAGGCGGCGACGGGUAGCCGGCCUGAGAGGGUGACCGGCCACAUUGGGACUGAGAUACGGCCCCGGCGCCUACGGGAGGCAGCAGUGGGGAAGAUUGCACCAUGGGCGCCAGCCGGAUGCAGCAACGCCGCGUGCGGGAUGACGGCCUUCUGGUUGUAAACCGCUUUCAGCAGGGACGAAGCUUUUUGUGACGGUACCUGCAGAAGAAGCACCGGCUAACUACGUG